GAACUAGAAAGUACUCUAUAAUUUUCCUAAUAAACUCUUAGUAAACUGAACCAUAACUCUUAGCUUCUUCAGGACUAUGAAAUUAGUUGAAUUCCUUGGCUGCAUUAUCUAAUUACAUAUUAAGUUAAUUAUGGUAGCAUAUAUGGUUGGGAUGAUAGGUUGGAUUGCAUAUUUCAGUUCUAAUUUUUGUACCAUGAUAGAUGAUGAUAUGAAUAGGUUCAGUCUAUGGAUAGUUAACUUGUUAACUUGCAUUUUUAUGAUGGAGUAUGUUGACUGUAGCUAGUUCAUACAUUCCUUCAUAACAUGUAUGAUUUUCAGUCUUUUGAAUUUGAUGUAUACGUCUAAUUGUUCUUUAGUUUCUUUUACUUACAAACCUCAAACUCUAAAAGGCAGGUGACCUUCCUAACAUGCCCAUCUUGACAUGAGUUGGCUGCCUGGAUGUGCCUUUGUAAUAUAUAAAUCCGCAACAC
rnacentral:misc_RNA from 1 species